AUUGAACGCUGGCGGAAUGCUUUACACAUGCAAGUCGAACGGCAGCACGGACUUCGGUCCGGUGGCGAGUGGCGAACGGGUGAGUAAUAUAUCGGAACGUGCCCAGUCGAGGGGGAUAACGUAGUGAAAAUUACGCUAAUACCGCAUACGAUCUAUGGAUGAAAGCGGGGGACCUUUGGGCCUCGCGCGAUUGGAGCGGCCGAUAUCAGAUUAGGUAGUUGGUGGGGUAAAGGCUCACCAAGCCAACGAUCUGUAGCUGGUCUGAGUGGACGACCAGCCACACUUGGACUGAGACACGGCCCAGACUCCUACGGGAGGCAUCAGUGGGGAAUUUUGGACAAUGGACGCAAGUCUGAUCCAGCCAUUCCGCGUGCAGGACGAAGGCCUUCGGGUUGUAAACUGCUUUUGUACAGAACGAAAAGGUUUCUACUAAUACUAGGAGCUCAUGACGGUACUGUAAGAAUAAACACCGGCUAACUACGUGCCAGCAGCCGCAGUAA
rnacentral:rRNA from 1 species